UGGGGGAUCGUCCAGUGGUAGGACAUCAGAUUUUGGAUCUGAGAACCUGGGUUCGAUGCCCAGUCCCCCAGCCA
rnacentral:tRNA from 1 species